rnacentral:rRNA from 1 species
UGGGGACUACAAGCAAUUGCUUAAAAACCCAAGAUUUUGGCGGUGUCUUAUUCUAUCAGAGGGAUCUGUCUCGUAAUCGACAACCCACGAAACAAUUAUCUUAUUUUGAUUAUGAGCUUGUGUACUGCCGUUUGUAUAGGCCCUUAAGGUUACCUAUAAUUAACUUAAUUAAGUUUUAUGACAGGUCAAAGUGCAGCAAAUAUUAAGAAGAAGAUGGAUUACAUUCUAUAACAUAGUCUAUAAAUAUGGUUAAACCAUUUUUUAUGAAGAAUUUGAUAGUAAUAUUAUCUAUGUGGUACUAUGAAUAAGAUCUUAAGACAAGCACACAUCGCCCGUCGCUCUUA